rnacentral:rRNA from 1 species
GACUUUAUGACCUUAGACUUUAUAACUUUCGAGCUAAAUAAAGUUCAUUGACAUAUUGAGAUAAGAAAUAAUAAAAAGUAGAAAGCGUUUUUUACUAUUUAUAGUAAAAGACAAAAAAAAACGGUCUUAAUUAAAUUUAAGAUUGGUACAAUAAGCAAAAUAAGGGCGUAUGGGGGAUGCCUUGGCUCUCAGAGGCGAUGAAAGGCGUGAUAAGCUGCGAAAAGUUACGGGGAGCAGCACACAUGCGUUGAUCCGUAAAUACCUGAAUGGGGCAACCCACUAUCUUGAAGAGAUAGUACACCGAUAGGUGGGCAAACCCGCUGAACUGAAACAUCUAAGUAGGCGGAGGAGAAGAAAACAAAAGUGAUUCCGUAAGUAGUGGCGAGCGAACGCGGAUUAGCCCAAACCAAUGUUGUUACGGCAAUGUUGGGGUUGUAGGACCACGAGAUUUUAUGUACAAGGAACCGGAAGUUACUGGAAAGUGACACCAUAGAGGGUGAUAGUCCCGUAUGGGUAACGAGUAUAAUGAAUAGUGGUAUCCUGAGUAGGGCGGGGCACGUGAAACCCUGUCUGAAUUUGGCGGGACCAUCCGCUAAGGCUAAAUACUCCUGAGAGACCGAUAGUGAACCAGUACCGUGAGGGAAAGGUGAAAAGAACCGUGAAUAACGGAGUGAAAUAGAUCCUGAAACCAUACGCUUACAAGCGGUCGGAGCCCUUUCGUGGGGUGACGGCGUGCCUUUUGCAUAAUGAGCCUACGAGUUAACGUUGCUGGCAAGGAUAAGUGGUUAAGCCACGGAUCCGUAGCGAAAGCGAGUCUGAAUAGGGCGCUUUAGUCAGUAGUGUUAGACGCGAAACCGUGUGAUCUACCCAUGGGCAGGAUGAAGCGCUGGUAACACAGUGUGGAGGUCCGAACCGGUUGACGUUGAAAAGUCUUCGGAUGACCUGUGGGUAGGGGUGAAAGGCCAAUCAAACUCGGAAAUAGCUCGUACUCCCCGAAAUGCAUUUAGGUGCAGCGCACGGCGUAAAGUUAUAUAGAGGUAGAGCUACUGAUUGGAUGCGGGGGCUUCACCGCCUACCAAUUCCUGACAAACUCCGAAUGCUAUAUAAUGUUUCCGUGCAGUGAGGGCUUGGGUGCUAAGGUCCAAGUCCGAGAGGGAAAGAACCCAGACCAUCAGCUAAGGUCCCCAAAUAUACGCUAAGUUGAAAGAACGAGGUUUGUCUGCCCAGACAGCUAGGAUGUUGGCUUGGAAGCAGCCAUUCAUUUAAAGAGUGCGUAACAGCUCACUAGUCGAGCGGACGAGCAUGGAUAAUAAUCGGGCAUAAGCGUAUUACCGAAGCUAUGGAUUUCAUAUUAAAUUAUGGAGUGGUAGGGGAGCAUUCUAACAGGGUUGAAGGUGUGUCGUAAGGCAUGCUGGACUGGUUAGAAAAGAAAAUGUAGGCAUAAGUAACGAUAAUGCGGGCGAGAAACCCGCACACCGAAAGACUAAGGUUUCCACAGCUAUGCUAAUCAGCUGUGGGUUAGUCGGGACCUAAGGCGAACCCGAAAGGGACAGUCGAUGGACAACGGGUUAAUAUUCCCGUACUAGUUAUUACUGUGAUGGGGUGACGGAGUGAUGAAAGCGCCGCGAACUGACGGAAUAGUUCGUUGAAGUACCUACCUAUAAGACCCGCAGGCAAAUCCACGGGUUUUGGGGAAAUACGAUAGUACUCGGAUACUUCGGUAGAAGAGAUAGUGCGCCUAAGGGCUUCCAAGAAAAACCUCUAAACUUCAGGUAAUAAGUACCCGUACCGCAAACCGACACAGGUAGUCGAGGAGAGAAUCCUAAGGUGCUCGAGAGAUUCAUGGCUAAGGAAUUAGGCAAAAUAGACCCGUAACUUCGGGAGAAGGGUCGCCAGCAGCAAUGCUGGCCGCAGUGAAGAGGUCCAGGCGACUGUUUAUCAAAAACACAGGGCUCUGCAAAAUCGUAAGAUGAAGUAUAGGGCCUGACACCUGCCCGGUGCUGGAAGGUUAAGAGGAGAUGUUAUCUUCGGAGAAGCAUUGAAUUGAAGCCCCAGUAAACGGCGGCCGUAACUAUAACGGUCCUAAGGUAGCGAAAUUCCUUGUCGGGUAAGUUCCGACCUGCACGAAUGGUGUAACGAUCUGGACACUGUCUCAGCCAUGAGCUCGGUGAAAUUGUAGUAGCGGUGAAGAUGCCGCUUACCCGCAGUGGGACGAAAAGACCCUGUGCACCUUUACUAUAGCUUAGUAUUGACCUUGGAUAAAUGAUGUGUAGGAUAGGUUGGAGACUGUGAAGUGGCGUCGCUAGGCGUUGUGGAGUCAUUGUUGAAAUACAACCCUUUGUUUAUCUGAGGCCUAACCCCAUAAUGUGGGGGACAUUGCUUGGUGGGUAGUUUGACUGGGGUGGUCGCCUCCAAAAGAGUAACGGAGGCUUCUAAAGGUUCCCUCAGUACGCUUGGUAACCGUGCGUAGAGUGCAAUGGCAUAAGGGAGCUUGACUGAGAGACAUACAGGUCGAUCAGGUACGAAAGUAGAGCAUAGUGAUCCGGUGGUUCCGCAUGGAAGGGCCAUCGCUCAAAGGAUAAAAGGUACGCCGGGGAUAACAGGCUGAUCUCCCCCAAGAGCUCAUAUCGACGGGGGGGUUUGGCACCUCGAUGUCGGCUCGUCACAUCCUGGGGCUGGAGAAGGUCCCAAGGGUUGGGCUGUUCGCCCAUUAAAGUGGCACGCGAGCUGGGUUCAGAACGUCGUGAGACAGUUCGGUCUCUAUCUACUGUGGGCGCAAGAAAUUUGAGUGGAUCUGAUUCUAGUACGAGAGGACCGAAUUGGACAAACCUCUAGUGUAUCUGUUGUCACGCCAGUGGCACCGCAGAGUAGCUACGUUUGGAAGGGAUAAGCGCUGAAAGCAUAUAAGCGCGAAACCCACCACAAGAUGAGAUUUCUUUUAAGGGUCGUGGGAGAUGACCACGUUGAUAGGCUAUAGAUGUAAAGGCAGUAAUGUCAUAGUCGAGUAGUACUAAUAACCCGUAAGCUUAUGUA